rnacentral:piRNA from 1 species
GCCUCCUCGAUGUGCCUGGUGGAAGC